rnacentral:rRNA from 1 species
AUUGAACGCUGGCGGCAGGCCUAACACAUGCAAGUCGAGCGAGCGGCGGACGGGUGAGUAAUGUCUGGGAAACUGCCUGAUGGAGGGGGGUAACUACUGGAAACGGUAGCUAAUACCCCAUACCAUCAGAUGUGCCCAGAUGGGAUUGGCUUGUUGGGGGGGUAAUGGCUCACCUGGGCGACGAUACCUAGCUGGUUUGAGAGGAUGACCAGCAACACUGGAACUGAGACACGGUCCAUACUCCUACGGGAGGCAGCAGUGGGGAAUAUUGCACAAUGGGCGCAAGCCUGAUGCAGCCAUGCCGCGUGUAUGAAGAAGGCCUUCGGGUUGUAAAGUACUUUCAGCGAGGAGGCGUUACUCGCAGAAGAAGCACCGGCUAACUCCGUGCCAGCAGCCGCGGUAAUAC